AGUGAACGCUGGCGGCGUGCUUAACACAUGCAAGUCGAACGGACUUAAGGGGCUUGCUUCUUAAGUUAGUGGCGCACGGGUGAGUAAUAUAUAGCUAACCUGCCCUUUAGUGGCGGACAACAGUUGGAAACGGCUGCUAAUACCCCAUACUCCUUCUUAUCAUAAGGUAAGUUGGGAAAGAUUUAUCGCUAAAGGAUGGGGCUUUAUUGUAUCAGCUAGUUGGUGGGGUAACGGCCUACCAAGGCUAUGACGCAUACCUGGUCUGAGAGGAUGAUCAGGCACACUGGAACUGAUACACGGUCCAGACUCCUACGGGAGGCAGCAGUGGGGAAUAUUGCACAAUGGAGGAAACUCUGAUGCAGCAACGCCGCGUGGAGGAUGACGCAUUUCGGUGUGUAAACUCCUUUUAUAGGGGAAGAUAAUGACGGUACCCUAUGAAUAAGCACCGGCUAACUCCGUGCCAGCAGCCGCCGUAA
rnacentral:rRNA from 1 species